rnacentral:rRNA from 1 species
AUGCUUUCAUAUCAAUAUUUAUUGCAUUAUGAGCUGUUACUACACAUUAUGUCACAAUACUUAUGCCUUUUCCCUCUUAUUUUACAAGGUUUACAUGAAGAGGGAGAAUGCCGGCAGCUGGAAUUCUGGGCUAGAAAAGGAGCAAAUAUUAGAGACCUAUUCCGCACAACUCCAAAAGUCCUGAAACUCCACGAAAGUCAGUUUCUGAAUAUAUUAAAAAUAUUGGGCGAAGAAAGCACCAGAGGGGGGGUCACCCACUGUCCACAAGGGUGGAGGGCGCGCCCUACCCCCCCUGGGCGCGCCCCCUGCCUCGUGGGCUACCUGGAAGCCCCUGAUGCCCAUAUUCUGAUAUACGGUGUCUUUUUCCCUGAAAAAAGAAGAAGGAAGCUUUUGGGACGAAGCGCCGCCGUCUUGAGGCGGAACCUUGGCGGAACAAAUCUAGGGCUCCGGCGGAGCUGUUCUGCCGGGGAAACAUCCCUCCGGGAGGGGGAAAAUCGUCACCAUCGUCAUCACCAUCGAUCCUCUCAUCAGGAGGGGGUCAAUAUCCAUCAACAUCUUCACCAGCAACAUCUCCUCUCAAACCCUAGUUCAUCUCUUGAAUCCGAUAUUUGUCUCAAAACCUCAGAUCGGUACCUGUGGGUUGCUAGUAGUGUUGAUUACUCCUUGUAG